CGGAACGAUCCUAGCUUGCUAGGAGGCGUCGAGCGGCGGACGGGUGAGUAAUGCAUAGGAAUCUGCCCGGUAGUGGGGGAUAACCUGGGGAAACCCAGGCUAAUACCGCAUACGCCCUACGGGGGAAAGCAGGGGAUCUUCGGACCUUGCGCUAUCGGAUGAGCCUAUGUCGGAUUAGCUAGUUGGUGAGGUAACGGCUCACCAAGGCUGCGAUCCGUAGCUGGUCUGAGAGGAUGAUCAGCCACAUCGGGACUGAGACACGGCCCGAACUCCUACGGGAGGCAGCAGUGGGGAAUAUUGGACAAUGGGCGAAAGCCUGAUCCAGCCAUGCCGCGUGUGUGAAGAAGGCCUUCGGGUUGUAAAGCACUUUCAGUGAGGAAGAAAGCCUUGAGGUUAAUACCCUCGAGGGAGGACAUCACUCACAGAAGAAGCACCGGCUAACUCCGUGCCAGCAGCCGCGGUAAUACGGAGGGUGCGAGCGUUAAUCGGAAUUACUGGGCGUAGAGCGCGCGUAGGCGGCUUGAUAAGCCGGUUGUGAAAGCCCCGGGCUCAGCCUGGGAACGGCAUCCGGAACUGUCAGGCUAGAGUGCAUGAGAGGAAGGUAGAAUUCCCGGUGUAGCGGUGAAAUGCGUACAGAUCGGGAGGAAUACCAGUGGCGAACGCGGCCUUCUGGACUGACACUGACGCUGAGGUGCGA
rnacentral:rRNA from 1 species